rfam:Alcanivorax sp. Nap_24 scaffold_303, whole genome shotgun sequence.
GAAAGUUGUGCCGGGGCCGGCGUUGCUCUAUGUUUGCCACCGCUUCAGGUGUACGGGAAGCCGGUGAAAGGCCGGCGCUGCCCCCGCAACGGUAUGAGGUAGCCGUUACCACAACGCCACCAGGCACGUCCUGGGAAGGCGGUAACGGCGUCACCCCUCGAGCCCGGAGACCGGCCUGUCGCCACUGGCGCGC